rnacentral:rRNA from 2 species
UACGUAGGGGGCGAGCGUUGUCCGGAUUUACUGGGCGUAAAGGGUGAGUAGGCGGUUAUAUAUGUCAGAUGUAAAAGGCACAGGCUUAACUUGUGUAAGCAUUUGAAACUGUAUAACUUGAGUGCAGGAGAGGUAAGUGGAAUUCCUAGUGUAGCGGUGAAAUGCGUAGAUAUUAGGAGGAACACCAGUGGCGAAGGCGACUUACUGGACUGUAACUGACGCUGAGUCACGAAAGCGUGGGUAGCAAACAGG